UCUUCUGGAUGCAAAGCUGGCUCUGUGUUCCCUCAUCUCCCUAGGUACAUCUCUCCUAACUCAUUGCUCAGGCAGCCUAAUUCAGGUCCCUUGUCUCAAGCGGAAUAGACUCCUGGUCAUACUGCCAUUACCACCUCAAUCUGGACUGGGACACCAGCAGGUCCGUUCCUUCAACCCAACUCACUCUUUGAUAUUCUGAUGCUUUUUCUCAUCUAUGAAGAAGGAAGACAGAGAUGAAAUGUGGUGGCAGCCGGGAUCUGAGCAGUGGUGGUGGACAUAGAGAGAAGGGAAGAGAUGCCAGAACCAUAAUAUCUGCAGUAAUUUCUCAUUACUGUCUAAAGCUAGUACUGAUUGGCUAAAGAAGAUGCUGUCUCAUACCCUUUGUGAUUCCUGUAAUAUAAUUUGGAACAUAUACUGAUUCUUCACACAUCCUGGAACUGCAGCGCUGUGCAGCAAGGGAGACCAGGAAGCAGACGUGACCAGACACAAAGAACAUGAUUUGAAUACCUACUGUGAUAAGACACUACCCUGAGAACUGCCAGUCAAAGGUCAAUAAGAUACGAAAUGUGUCUUCCAGGAGAUCACAAGUUGCCUGGAGGAGUCAUACAGGGAAACAAAUAACAACCCAGCACAAUCUGGCAGCAUGGUUUAUACAGAUUAUAUGCAGUAUGAUUAAACAGCAGGGGCCACUGAACUAUAAAAGAACAUGGGAGCUGAGCCCUAUAGUCUCAGUGCUUUCAACAGCACAGUGCAUGGGUGUGAUUUGUGGCCAGCGUUCAUAAAAUAGACCCCAGACAGCUACCAUGGAGUGCUAAAUUGAAGAUAUAGUUAACCAGUGACUAGUGCAUGCCAACAACAGAUGUUUGUAAUCAAAUUAAGAAUUAGUAUCAGGUCUUAGAGUUCCAAAAAGCCUAUUUGUAUUUGUUCAAGAAAACUCAAAUUCAUGACUGCUAAUAUGGCAUGCAAUUGUCCACAUAAAAUGGAGUAAAACAUUACUGAAAUGUAAGUGAUACUGAAAUGUAAGUGAUACUUCAGAUGCAUAAUGAGAAAUAUUGCUUAGCUAAUAAUGUCAAAGAAUAGAAGAUCAAAAACUCUUGGUUGAAUUCAAGUGAAUCUCAGCAAAGUGUUUGUUGGGCAAUCUUAUUUUAUCUUCUUAAGUGUCUCCUUUUUAGCAUACUGACCUUAUAUCCAUGACUCAGCAAAAAUGCACAUUACAAAAUAACAUUGGCCUUCAGAGUUUGUUUUGAAGACUCCAAACCUCAAAUAUUAAAUCAAUGAGUGCUGUGGCCACUGCAAGGCAUUGCAUCUGAGAGAUAUUUAAUAAAAGUCUGCU